UAGAACGGUUUGAAACGGUUUAGAACGGUUUGAAACGGUUUAGAACGGUUUGAGUGAUUGUUGCAAAACGCCAACAAUCGCUACCAACUGCAAAAGCUAUGUCUGUGGGUAGUAGCGGAGAAACCAAUCAUGCCCUCAGUCAUGCCCUAGAUUUGGUAAAAACCUUGGUCAAAGGGCAAGAACAAUGAGUCAACAAAAUAUUAUUCGGAAAGUGCUAAAUCGUCUGGGUAAUGCAAGGAGAUCCAUUUAUAGACACGACACCUUGUUCUAUCAUGGAACCACUCAAAUUCAGUACUACUAGUUUCUUGAGAACUACUGAGUUCUCUAUAAUGUACUUCACAUGACACUCGACAUAAAGAUGCUUGAGCCUUGAUUUUAUGAUACAUUUUUAAUCUAAUUCCAUCAAAAGAACAUAAAUAUAGACCAAUUUUAAUAAGUCCAUCAACAUAUAUAAUUAUAUUUCUCUUUGCCAUUGUCUGGUCGUGAAGUAGUGACUAUGACAAACAACAAAUUAAAUCUUUCAUAUUAUCAAGCGGAGUCAUGAAAGCACAUAUUCUGAUGUUUCAGAUGCUGUGAAUUUACAUUGUCAUAUUUGUACUUAUUUCCCCAAGAUUGGAAAAAUAAUCAAAGUGAAACAUCGGCAAUUUAUAGGUGUUUAGAUUGGUCAGAAGUUCUUUAAACUAAUUUGAGACCGAUACUAGUUUUGAGUGAAUUUGCUAUAUUAAUUUUGGUUUGGAAUUCGUUUUCAAUAACAUUGUACAGUAAAACUCUAUAAAUUAAUGAUUUUAUAUGAUUUCAUGUAAAUGAAGCUGAUUUAAAAUAUGAGACAGAUCAAUAAGAUAAUAAAAUAAUGAUUUUUAGAAAAUCUCAUGUAAAUAUAUGAUACCAUUAAAUUUUAAUUAAUAAUUCCUACUAGGAUUAGACCCGCGCCUUGCGCGGGGUGAGAUUUUUUAAAAUUUUUUAAAAAAAUAGGUUAUAAGAUGAAUAAAACUGAUAUGUGGUGGGGUUUUUAUUAAGAGAUAAAUGAUUUUUAUUUUUUCGUUAUAUAAGUAUUUAUAGAUAUUGGAGGAUUAAAUUGUAUUUACGAUCAAUGAUCUUUCUAUAAAUAUUUUUGUUUAUUACCGAGUAUGUGAUAUAUUUUUAGUAAGACAAAUAAAAUACCAUACCAUUUUUUUGGUAACUAAUCUUAUUAAAAGAUUUAUAUUUGAUUAUUUUAAAGACUUUAACACAACUUAAUAGAACUUGGAAUUAAAAAAAAUAUUUCUCACAACAUUUAUGUAAAUUAUAUUGUCGUAACAUAUAUAACAUAAUAGAUUAGUUGAAUAAUUAUAAUGGGCCAUAAUAAUAAACAAAUAAAUUGAAAGGCCCGAUUAUAUUUGUUCCUUAAUUAUGAUUGUCCAAUAUUUGAGGGCAAAAGCAAGUCAUUGUCGUAACACAAAUUGCAGAUUUAUUGUUUCCCAAUUUUUUUUAAUUUUUCCCAUAUUUGCCGUUCCCGAAUCGACUGUUUCGUUUAUCACCGUCUCAGAACAAUUCAAACCGAUCUUCUGAUUUCUCUCUGUGCAAUACAUAUUCACGUUCCAAACCUAAUCAAUAAUACCAAUCGAAGGUUACUGGUCUUCCACAGAGUAAACAAUCGAUUCAGAAAAUGAGAAGCUAUAAGACCAUCAUUAUCGGGGUCUCUUGACAAGAAUAUUUAGUUUAUUUGGAAUUAAAGAAAAAGAAAAAAAGGUAAUUACCAUAAGCGACGUAUCUUAUUUAGGCGACACAAGAUACGUCUCUUCUGUGCCACGCGUCGUUUAUGGCCAAAGGUGACGAAGAAAUCUCCGGUGCUCCCUCCCGCGUCUACCGUCUUGUUUCGCCUCUUCGUCGUCUUCCUCUUCGGUUUCCAGAUCUAGAAGCGGCGCUAGGACCUGUGAGGCCUCUGGAGGUGUGAAGAGAGCUUAAUCGGCUUGAUCUGGCCGUUGGAGAAGAGCUCCUCCGCGGAGGUCAUUGGCACGCCGCCAAUAGGACCGCUGCUGGAAGACAACCGAGAGGAGAAAUCAAACUCAAACUCGCCAGAAGGAGACGAAUCGGGCUUCGGAUUCUCCGACGGAGCAGUGGAGGACAAGAAGAAAUGCAUCGGACUCGACGGUGCGCUGAAGAAAUACCCAGGCGGUGGAUUACGUCCGGGACUAGACGGAGCGCUGGCGAAGGAAGUAGCCGAAGGUGAUGCCUUUUUGAGUAGUUUUUGAUGGGAUGAUGGGUUCUUGUUGACAGGGUUUUGUUUUUGGGGCAGGUAGUUACUGGGAUUGCUCUGCCUUCUGGUUCUGAUAAGCUUUACACUGCUAGUAAAGAUGAGACACUACGGAUUUGGGAUUGUGCUUCUGGACAGGUUUCGAUUUACUUGCCUCUUAGAAUUCAUUCCAUAGUGUGGUUAUUCUUCAAUGGAUACUUGUCAUUGUUUGGUUAGAACUUAGGACCAACGGGUGGUCGAAACGGUUCGUUUGAUGUUUCGGUGGAUAUGAUAUGCAGAACGGCUAGUUACUUGUUUAACUAAUCCUUCAAUUCUCUAGGAGUUUGGAUUAGUUAGGGUUAACAAUCAAGCUUGAGUAUUAGUUUAUUGAUUACAUGUUUCAUGGUGAUUUGAUGCAGAAGUGUCGAAGACUGAUGGGAGGGUUGGGAACACUACUAAUGUGAUUAUCGGAGGUACUGUUGCUGAUGAUUCUGCUAAAGAUUGGCUCGUACUUGACCAGAAGGUAUCUCUUAUAGAAAAAACUUGUGUACUUGAGUUUGGUCAUAGCUUAUUGGAGUUGUUAUUUUUAUCUUUGCUCUUCAAAGAGUUAAUUUAGUUUUUGUUUUGUAAUGGAAUGCAAUGUCAGGUUCUACAAAACGAUAUCGAUAUCAAUAUGCUUAACCCACCAACAGAGCUUGAGAAGAGGAAGCACAAGCUCAAGCGUCUUGUUCAAUCUCCCAACUCAUUCUUCAUGGUAAUGAAUUUGAAAACCGUUUCUCCUAUUUUUGAACCUUUGAGAAACAACUUUGUUUAGAGUUGUAGCUUUUGCUUAAUCCAUUUUCUCAUCGUGAUUGAAAAUCAUGUCUUGUGUCUCUGAUUCAUUAUUCAUGGUAAUGAAUUUGAAAACCGUCUUUGAUCCGUCAUAGCUUUUGUUUAGAGUUGUAGCCGGUCUCUUUUUUGUUCUAUUGAAAUGUUUAAUAAAUUUUUUUAAGAACCCAUAGUUAAGAGACUACCAUUGGAGCAUAAAAAUGUUGGUGUCUUUUAAGUAGGUCUCUUAAGUAAAUUUUAAUAAUUAAAAAUCAUUAAGAGACUCAAAGUGGGUUUUUGGGUUAAUGAUGCUCUAAGGUUAGUCAAUUUGAUAAUAUUUUGAGAUCUGUAAAAUCAAUUCUCAAUUGCAGGGAGUUUCAUUUGUUUCGUUAUUUAUUUUUCAAUCGGGUCUCGAAUAUAGGUUGAAAUCUGACAUAGCUUUCACAGAAAACCUAAUUCCAUCGUUUACCUAUUUGAUUUCAACAAAGCUAAAUUCUAUUUAGGAGUAUCUAUUUGAAUUCAAAUGCUUGAUAAAAAUGUUAAAAUUUAAUGAUUGUUUGCUUGAUUGAAAUAAAAAAUUUUAUGAUUAGUAUUAAAAAUUCUUUGCUUGAUAUGAGUAUACUUAAACAAUCAAGCAAAGCCAAACUUUGUGAAUUAUCCUUAAAUGUAUUUGAGUUGACGAUAUAUUUUAGUUUAUAUUGAAUAAGAGUUUCACAUUGCAGAGAAAGAUUGAAGAGGUGGGAACCAAGGGUGUUGUUUCAGACAAUAGGACGUCUACUAAUAAGGUUAGCAUCAACUUUAUUGACACAAUAGUGAGAUAAUUAAUUAUACGACCCAGUAAAGAACGCACUUGUGAAAAAUUAACUAUCAUUUAGCAUUGUAAAAAUAGAUACGAAAAUAAAGGACUAAAGUAAAGUACUUUAAAGGCGUCCAAAGAAUCCCGUACCUUAACAUCGCAAAGAACCAUUUCAAUAGUUUCACCUCCAGCAUCUGAGUAUUGUUUCCACAACCGGAUGACUUUGACCUUGAUCUUCCACAUUGUUUUGAAAGGCUUAACAUCAGCGACUGGAUUGAUAGACAUGGUUUGUAAGCAACGGGUUUUUUUUUUGCUCUUUUGCUUGUUUGCAAGUUGAUGUGGAAUUCGAUGAGUGGGAGCAUCAUUUAUAUAUAUGUCGUGUCUAGGUUUAGGAGCCAUAAUAAUUACCAUCACAGUGUCAAAGGAAACUACAUAUUUUAUUUUCCUUAUCUCUUAUAUCACAUUAACGUCCAUGAAACCUUGGUGUCGAAGCAAACGUGAUGGCCACUCCAUCUUUAAAGGGUACGUAAAGUUAAAUAUUAUUUUUUCCUUUAUCUGGUUUUAUAGCAUUAAUGAUUGCAAAUUUCGUUCCUAAACUAAGUCUCAAAAAUAUAGGAUAAACGUGAUGGCCAAUCGAUCAUUAAAAGAUACUUCUUUGUUUUUUGGCAAUACCAUUACUGAUUGAAAACUUGCUGCCAAAGUAAAAGUAAUAUUAUAUUUAAAUAUUGUUUACUAAGUUUAAUGUAUAACACGACAUAUACUUACAAAAUUAAUAUAACAAACCAUAUGUUAUCAACGGUGUUUCAUAAGAAUCAACGGUGUUUCUAAGAUGUAAACAACUUUGGCAUACCGGUUAAAUUGAGUUAUCAUAAGAAUCAACGGUGUUUCUAUUGUCGUUAUGUAUGACCUUAAUUAUCAUAAAAUACUUGGCAAUCCAUCAACAGUUUAAAACAAAUUAAUAUGAUAGUUUGAUUCUCCCGUCUGUCCUACGGGAGGGUGAGGAAAUUAAAAUAGUAAAAUAUGUUGAUACAUAAAAUACUUUAAGUAGCGACAGUGAAAAACACCAACUCAACCGAAUAACUGAUUUAGAAUACUGAAUAGUAAAAUAAAUAAACAAAAGAAAACUUGAACAAAUUUUCUUUAAAUAAAUUGGAUCAACAGAGAACACUCGUCUUCGUUAUCAUAUUUUGGUUUCCACGUUUUAGACAUAGUAUGCCAAACAAAACGACUUAUAGAAGAGCACGCUACAUUUCCAGCAAGUUCUGAUUGAUUCUUCAUCCAUUCCAAAAACUUUUGUUUCUGUUGAUGUUCAAGUACAUUCACAUACUCGUCUUCUCUCAUGUUUUCUUCCUUUGAAAACAUAAGUUUGCGCCAUAUCCCUUUAGCAAUCUGCAAAUUAAAAAGGUUUUUAAGUAAGCAUCUUACAUAUGAAUUUCUAUAAUUAUAUAAACGGUAAGUUGAAUGCAAAUCCCCUAUAAUUAUAUACAAUAUAUUGUAUGACCUUCUCAUGGUUUGGCCAUGCGAAUUUAGAUGACAUCCUAGAAUAGAUUUAAAGAAAAUAUUUGUCAACUUUUAUUCUUCGUACCAAACUAUAACAGUAUAUAUAGGAAAAGCUACAACGAAGUCUUCCAAAACGCGACAUCUACUCUGCCAACUAACUAAACAGAAGCGAUUAUUCGGUUAAUGCCUUGCACGAAAAGCAUAUACGUAAUAAAUUCAACCUUUACAUAUUCGGUCAGCCCAUUCCGAAUUUAAUACAACCAACCAUUAUGUUAAUAAUAAAAUUUGGAAUUAAAUACAUAAUCAAAAGUUUACUUAUGUAGAUAUAGCGAAUCGUUGUGUAAGGAGUAUAUGAGUAAUGACGAUAGGGGAUAUGUAACAAUUGUAUUUGACGGUGUAACAAUUAUAUAACAUUUUGCUAGGAUGUUUAAUUUUAGACUAAGCUCAACAUAUUGAGCUCUAUUAAACUGCCACGUAAGACAAUUAAGAGCACAAAAAACUGACACGUAGGAAGGGGCUAUUUUUAAUUAUUACAAACUUGAGGUUCUAACUUUUUAAAUGAUUCACAAUUAAUAUAUAGGGGAUAUCUACAGUUUAUAAGAAUGCAAAUAAUACAUGGUAUUGUCUGCUUUAUCUUCAUAAUGAAAUUUACUUCUAUGUUUUCUAAGUUUCAUAAUAUUUUGAUAGUAUUUAAUAAAAUUAUAUCUAAAAUACAUUUAAAUUGUAUGCUACAUAUCUCAUAUACAUAAAAUAAAUAUAAUAAAAUGAUAUGAAAGUUGAAUUUAUAAAUUUCAAUGAAUAUAUAAACAUUGGAAUCAACUAUUUUUGUUUGACAAAUUUUUUUAAUUCUAAACUAUAGAAAUAUAGAAAAGGAAACUUCUUAUAAAUUAAUAACUCUAUAAAUUAAGAAAAUAUUAUAAUCCCAACAUUAUUAAUUGUAGAUUUUUUAGGUGUGUAGAAGUAUAAAAUAUUAUAUAAGUAGAUUUGUGUUAAUCAAAUUAAUUUAAUAUAUAGCAAGAAAUAAUAAUAGCUUUACUAAAUGUGGAAUAAUUAUAAUACUGCAUUGCUUAUCAAGACCAAAAUCGGAACCAAUUUAAUUUUCGUUGAUCAAUAUAUAAAUAGUCAAAUCUAACAAUAUGUUUCAAAUAAUAAAAGUUAUAAAGCUAUAAAUAGGGAUUGUUAAUAGUGAUCAGAGACAUCAAAAAAAGACAAGCAUAUAUAGAUACACACAAGACUAAAAAACAAAAGAUGGAGAAAAAAUAUACGUGCAUGUUGAUGAUUAUGAUCAUUGCAUUGACGAUGAUACCAUUACCAGCAAUGAGUGAAACAUAUGAAGCUUGUUAUGAUAAUUGCGUUUCCUCGUGCCAAAUGUUUUCUCUCGACGUUAAGAUCAAAUGCAUUCACGAUUGUGUUGGUUCUAAAUGUCAUAAAACACAUGUACUCCCCCGGAUGACGACUAAAGAGAUAUUUUAAGAAAUUCAUACAUAGAGAGAGUUAUUAAACACACAAGAUGUUUUUAGUUUACUAUGUUUUUAAUUAUAUGAUUUUGAAUAAUAAAAUUUCAUCGUCAUCUUCAGAAUUCAACCGUUCUCAAAA